CGUUGUGAGACAAUUCCGCAAUACUAUAAUCCAAUGAAAACCCGUUGAUGUACUGAACAACUUUGUCGAAGACACCAACCGUCUAUUAGGUCAGGAUCACGAGUUAUUCCAUGUUGGAACCAAUUAGGUCAAUUUCCAUAUGCUACGUAGACUCCAAUAAGGACGUUCGACCGCGUUAAUGGAAUCACUCGAGACCGUCCUUAAUGGAAACGUCCUUAUUCGAAACCGCGUCAUUCGGGGACUGCUGUACCUACCGAGAAAGAAAAACGACAAGGUAUACAGCCCUUAGGGUUGUACGAAAGGGUGACGGAGGACUUGUUAGCCUCUAACUGCUCAGUGGGGUGGGGGGGGUUUGAGAGGAAUUUAUGUAGCUUACCGGUACAGUCACAACAAUGCUUAUUAUCACCACGUAACUCGCGCGAACACAGAAACGGAUAUCGAAACAAUAUGCAAAGUUUAACCAAGGGAAAAACUUACCAGUUCAAUUGCUGCUGUUGAAAGGCUAAAUAAAAUAGAAAAAGCAAAAUUCUCAAAAGAAACCAAAAGAAGAGGGCUGAAUACUCCUUUCGAGUUCGGUAAGCGGAAAUCAGGGAAGUUAGUGGCGGAUAAUAUUGCUUAAACCCAAAGUUAUAAUCACUAUUACAAUUUUUAUUGUUCCCUAUCCCGAGAAUUCUCACGGCCUUAUUAAGUGUACUUGCGCGCAUUCGUUUUGGUGUACUAGAGGGGCUAGCGGUUGCUCCUUCUUCUCUGCGGUCUUCCCUCACCGCCGGCAAUGGUCAAGCCGGUAGGACUAGGCUGGACUAAGCAGCCGAAGCACACGAAUCCACCAGGGUCUGUACUUCCCGGCCACCGAUUUAUUGACGUUCCGGGGAUGAAUGAUUCUUUACCUUGAACGAUGUUCGUAGCUUCGUGGUCGUAAUUUUAGAUGCGGAUGCGGUGUUCUUGUGUUGCACUUUUGGUGACUGUCGAAGAAACGGUCCAAAUUUCUGGAACCAAAACACAAAAGGCCCCUCCAGGACCUACGAGCGCAUUAGAUAUCUCACCGUACUAGCCCUACACCUAUUUCCCCGUACACCAGCAUUUUUAUUUAAAAAUGUUUACCUUUUGUUUUUUGCUACUAACAAUCACUUGUCUUCUCGGAUAUUGGAUUACAUUGUACUAUCACAAUAGCUAUACUUAACAAACAUACUUUUACAAUAAUAUUCUUUUAAGAUUGCACAAUUAACUUUGACUUACUUUUGAAUUUGAACAAAACAACAUUAUCUUCCGUCACAAUUUAAUUUUAAAAACUGUACAACUUUAAAAAAAUCACCGUCGCGCACCUGUGUUUUCUUUUGGAUUGCAAGAAAGAAUAAAGCUUCAUUUUACGGAUUGGCCUUUUUAAAGCUUUUCAAGUUUAAAAGCGGGAUAUCCGAAGCUUCCCGAUUUUAAACAACCUAUUGAAUUGGCAACAAUCCUCUUGGUUAGCACCCUGUGGUAUUGAACACCGUGUUCGUAUUUAUCGACGUAUCUGUGGGCGUAUUAGUGUCUGAGUGGUCCGUCCAUCCAUGGACUUGGAGGGUUACCACCCUUACAGUUGCAAAUCGGGGUGGUGAUAGUAAGCAAAGUUUUCCUACUGAGUGACUGUUCCGCCUAGAAGACUUGGAAUAUUAUCACCCAUAUAGGUGACUGUAUGCCGUCUCGGUAAAGUUAUCCCGCCUGAGUGACCCUUCCAUCUAGAAGAUUUGGAGUGUUAUCACCCACACAGUUGAUAGCUUAUCCGAGGCAGGUUGUUAGCAAUGAGAGACAUUCGCAUCAGAGAAAACUUUCCCCUGUAAACCAUCCCUCCGCCCAGAAGACUUGGAGGGCUAUCGUUCACACAGCCGACAGCUUACUCAGAUGUGGACUUAGGGCUUUAGGAUUAAGGAAAUUCGAGCAGGUUGAGAUCUUAAAUUGGCAAAGCUAAUUAUUUAAAAUUUGUAACCGAAAGGUUACAAUACCCCAUCAACCCUCUCUUCCUCUGAGUUAUUCAUCAAUUCUAAUUUCCUGUUGUAUCGACUUGUUUCGUUUAUGUUCGAGUAUGGAACAUGUUUUGUGCAACGCCCAAAUCAUUUUCAUCCCCCUUAGUACAUUUUGGUUCUAUCUCUAAGUUCUCACUUUCCUUCUACACUCAUGAGCAGAAGCAAAAGAGCUCACACCAAUACUCGCGUAAGGUAAUUAUCAGAUAGCAAUAAUGAAGGCACGCAUCCAACAUCGUGGACGCUACAUUUACUUAAAGUGGUUAUUUUGUAACAUUCUAAUAUUUAAGGAUAAAAAAAGGUAUUCCUAACAAUUUUUAUGGUGCAUCAGCUUUGGCAAACUUAUUCGUAUGUACUCUGAUCGGUUAUAGUAUCAUUUGGCGGUUUUUCUAAGUUUGCUGAGGGAUAAAAACUAUUAAGAUGGAGUCAAUUUUUCUCAGGUAAACAAACGUAUUUACAGACAUACAUAUAACAUUUAAGAAUCGUUCCUUUUUUCAGCUAACCAAGAACUAAUAGGUUUCAUUGAUGUCCGGACUUUUCAACGGUUUCAAGUCUGCCGCCGAAAACACACCCCUGGGUUGUUGAGUAGUAUUCUCAUUUCCCUUCUCCGCUGCGAAGAAGCAAAAGAGCUCUCUCGAAUACCGAGGCCCUGCCCCUGUCAAAAUUAUUCUUGAGUGUUCGGUGUCGUUCGCCUGUUAUCAAGACAUGCGGUUUUGGGAAAUUCGCGAUAAAUUGUACAAAAGUGAGAGUUAUUUGGGGGUAAUUGAGUCGAAAAUGCUUCUUACAUCCGCGCGCGCUGGAUUCUAUUCGAGUUAAAAAGGAGGAUAUCUAUGCAAGCCAUGAAAAAAGCGUUAUUAGCAGGUGCAUAUCCACCGGGUGCAUCAGUGAAGUUUCUCGCUCAGCGCUACUAUUUUGGAGCUGAAUGAUUUUGUUCUUCCCUACCCGGUUUUAGAUCGGCUACCGAAAAGACGCCAAUGGGCUUGCCGGAUUCAUUGGCCAGCUCGUAAGAACUUGUGCCAACACGGGCGAGAACGGUACAAGGCAAAUACAGGGCAUCUAGUUUUGCAUUAUAAUUGUCCACUGCCGAUGACUGCCGAAAAUUUCGUUUCCACACUUUCUGGCCGACAACGUAGACCGGGGCUGGAUUAUGGGAACGCAAAUUGUAGGUUUUAAUGUUAUUUUCAUGUGCUUUCUUUAAAUUCUUGAUUACGAUCGAGUAAAUAUGUUUAUCUAUCUCCUCCUUCCUCUUAAUCCUUUCCUCGUCUGACAUGUCUCUUUCAUCUUUAUCCAUCCGGUGUUCGUCCCCUUUUGUAACUAUUUCGUGUCCGAACAAAACCCUAUACGGCGAGAACCCCGUUGCGGUAUGAGGAGUGUUAUUUAGGCAAUGUUCAAUUUCCGAGACUCGCGUGUCCCACUGUUUUUGGUCCUGCUUUACGUAGGAACGGAUACAGGCAUUAAUCGUUCGGUUUAACCGCUCGACAGGGUUCGCUUGACUGUGGUGACGGGCGUUGGCCCAAUGUUGUACUCCAUAUUUCAUCAAAAGAGUUUUCAUUUCUUUCGAGAGAAAAGUGCUAGCGUUAUCGGAGAUUAGAUAUUCUGGAACCGAAUAUUUUCGGAACCAGUCCUCUUCUAAAAUUUUUGUAACCUGCGGUGCUGUUAUUCGUUUGACAGGAAUCAACAAGCACCACUUUGAGAAUAAAUCCAUUAUCACAAACAAAUGCGCAUAUCCACUCUUGCUCCUCGGCAAUGACUGUAUGAAGUCUAUGGCAAUGAUUUGGAAAGGCUUCGUAGUAAGUCGUUGCCUACCAGGUUCAGGCAGCUGAGAGCGAUUGGAAGGCUUAAUUUGUUGACAAAUCGAACAUUUGCGUAUAUAUUCUUUUAUGUCCAAAGCCAUCUUGGGCCAAAAGUAUUUUUUUCUAAUUCUCGCUAAGGUUUUCUCCAUCCCCAAAUGUAAGCUAUCAUCGUGUUCUUCAACUAGUAUUUUCUCUAUUAAGUUUUGUGGAAUACAAGUUUUCCAGGUGAAACGAUAAUCAAGCACGUUAUCUGGGGCAAAAAUAAAUUUCUUAAGAGUGGAGUUUUCUAUUUUAUAAUCUUUAUAUUUUUCAGGGUAAGCAUUAACCUUUUUUAAUAUAUCUGAGUACCAGCCCGAGGUGGCUUCUAUUGCCUCUACUGACCGCGAUAACGCAUCGGCUACGAUAUUCUCCGAACCUUUACGGUGCACCACUGUCAUGUCAUGCCGCUGAAGAUCUAUGCUCCACCGGCAUAAGCGGGAUGAUGUGCGCCAAGUACUUCGCAUAAUAUAGGUUAGAGCGGAAGCGUCCGUGUAAACUGUGAAUUUGGUUCCUUCGAUGUAACAUCUGAAUUUCUCAAUUGACCUGAGGACUGCUAGUCCUUCCUUUUCGGUAGCGAAAUAUCGUUGUUGGGUAGUCGAUAGCUUUUGCGAAAAAUAUGCAAUUGGCUUUUCGACUCCGUCUUGAGUUUGCGUUAGAACUGCAGCUAUUGCACCAUCGCUCGCAUCGCAGUGAAUGGCAAAUGGUAGUGAAAAGUCUGGAUUGGUAAGUAUGGGAGCACUUAUUAAAAGGUUUUUUAUAUUAGAAAAGGCGGUUUCCGCUUGUUCAUUCCAAUGUAAGUUUUUCGGUUUAUUACGUAGCAAAUCCGUUAAAGGUUGUGUAAACUCACUAUAGUUGGCCAGAAACCUCCUAUAGUAGUUACACAUACCUAAAAAUCUUCUUAAAGCACGUAAAGAAUUUGGCCGUUCGUAAUUCACAAUCGCGGAUGUGAUGACCCUUAAGCCUGCAGUUGAAACAGUAUCCCUCUUUGGGUGGCCGGUAAGUGUUUAAGAGAAUAUUCAUUCCUGCCGGGUCUUGCUCUGAUCUACUAUCUUUUCCACUUUCUCUAAUCGAUUGUAUCUCAUCAUCCGAACUUCGCGCCCGUGAGUUAGAAUUAUAAAAAUGACGUGUUUUCUGAUUCCCGUUUUCCGAUCUACGACUUUCUUUAGGUCUUGUCCCAGUGUGAACCUCGUUCACCUGGGCCAUUCUAUUGCGCGGGUUGCUAUCGUUCGUAGCGGUUUGGUAUUUAUACCAAUAAGUUGCAUCUAACCGUCUCCCGAAUCGUUUGAGAUCCGCGAGAUUAUCGAUUUCCGUGGAGACCACGUGGCCUUUAUAGUCCGCGCGCAUGUUUCGCAUCACAAAAUCGUACUUCUUCCGCUCGGUCAACGGUUUUGUACACGCGUUAAAUAUGGUUUGCAUAGCUAGAUAAUACUCUUGGAAUCGUUCGCGUGGACCUUGCUUGCGAGCACCCGCGCGUAUUUCACAAGCAUAAUCGUGGUCCGGACUCAAAAAUUCGCGUUUUAGCUCUUCUUUAAGUUGUUCCCAGGUUGUAAAAUCGUCGUUUUCUACUCCUGCCAUGUACCAAGUUUUCGCGGCACCGCUGAAUAAAUGAAUAGCCGAACGGAGUAGGUCCUUAUGCGACAUGUUUUCCGAUUUCGCGUAGAACUCGAUUUCUUUAAGAAAUUUCAUCAAAAAUUGACCAUUAUCCGCCCCAUCGUACUUUAACCUCCAGUCCGACACUGGCCUACCUUUACUUGCUUUAUUCAAUCGUUUUCUAUCUUUCAACUCGCGGCGCGAUUUAUCUGAAGACCACCCCGAUUCCGAAUCCGUCGAUUCUUUAUCAUUACGUAGACGGGAAGAAUUUCGAUCUUUCCGUGGGGAACGAGUUCUAACCUUUUCUUUACGAGUGAUUUGUCUUCUACCACCAUUGCCUUCUAGUGACUCCGGUUUGGAAUUAGUAUUUUCUGCUGCACUAAAUUGUAACAUUCUCUGUGUCGCCCACAUUUGCAUUGGGGGUGGUGCGAACAUCCAGGGAUAUGCACAUGCUUGCAUGAACGACUGAAACAUAUUCUGAUUUGGUAAAUAAUUCUGCAUAUGAUUUUCUACUGAUUUUAAUUGCCUUCUAUUAGGUCCUCCCGGAGUGACGAAGGGUACCUCCUCUUCAUUACUAGACGAAGCCGUUUUGUUUCCGAAAUCAAGAUUAUCAGGAUUAAUUUGUAAAUUUGACAUGGACUGGUUAAUCUGACUCACUAUUUCUUGCUGGCCUUCCGGUGAAAAAAUAGAAAAGAAGCUAUUGUAAGUUCCGCGAAUGCACGUUUCCAUUGUAUCGAUAUCAUUGAGGUCUUCCUCAUUAUCCGUAUUGUCUGUUAAUCUUUUCAACCGCGCGAAAUAAUGAACUAAUCGCGUUUUUAAUCCUGCUCGUGAGCCCUCAUACCUUUUCCUAUGUGAAAGACAAUCUUUGAUUUGUUUGAUAUUUGUAUCUAUGACCGAAAUCUCAUCUCCCACAGUAGUAUCUAAAAGGGUAAAAUCUAAAUUUGCACAAGCAUUGUUUUUUUCCGCUUUUAAUUUUUCUUUAAGGCGUCUUGUAAGAGCCGAACGUGUUUCCACCGAAGUAAAAUCAAUUCCCCGUAUUUUAAGCUCAUACUCUACUUCAUCUCGUUCCAAAUGGUGGACGAGAAGAUUUUUAUACUGGAGAUCGAAUUCGAUAUCCAUUUUUGUAACGGUAAAUUAUAAGCAAAAUUCGUGUGGAGUACGAACAGAUUUUAAUCAGGAAACUGAUUUUUACCCUCUCCUCCGGGGUGUUUCUAAAAAUGAAAAUUGUUGACUUUUGUGGGUUUUUAUAUGUUGGGCGCCAAUUUGUUAGCCUCUAACUGCUCAGUGGGGUGGGGGGGGUUUGAGAGGAAUUUAUGUAGCUUACCGGUACAGUCACAACAAUGCUUAUUAUCACCACGUAACUCGCGCGAACACAGAAACGGAUAUCGAAACAAUAUGCAAAGUUUAACCAAGGGAAAAACUUACCAGUUCAAUUGCUGCUGUUGAAAGGCUAAAUAAAAUAGAAAAAGCAAAAUUCUCAAAAGAAACCAAAAGAAGAGGGCUGAAUACUCCUUUCGAGUUCGGUAAGCGGAAAUCAGGGAAGUUAGUGGCGGAUAAUAUUGCUUAAACCCAAAGUUAUAAUCACUAUUACAAUUUUUAUUGUUCCCUAUCCCGAGAAUUCUCACGGCCUUAUUAAGUGUACUUGCGCGCAUUCGUUUUGGUGUACUAGAGGGGCUAGCGGUUGCUCCUUCUUCUCUGCGGUCUUCCCUCACCGCCGGCAAUGGUCAAGCCGGUAGGACUAGGCUGGACUAAGCAGCCGAAGCACACGAAUCCACCAGGGUCUGUACUUCCCGGCCACCGAUUUAUUGACGUUCCGGGGAUGAAUGAUUCUUUACCUUGAACGAUGUUCGUAGCUUCGUGGUCGUAAUUUUAGAUGCGGAUGCGGUGUUCUUGUGUUGCACUUUUGGUGACUGUCGAAGAAACGGUCCAAAUUUCUGGAACCAAAACACAAAAGGCCCCUCCAGGACCUACGAGCGCAUUAGAUAUCUCACCGUACUAGCCCUACACCUAUUUCCCCGUACACCAGCAUUUUUAUUUAAAAAUGUUUACCUUUUGUUUUUUGCUACUAACAAUCACUUGUCUUCUCGGAUAUUGGAUUACAUUGUACUAUCACAAUAGCUAUACUUAACAAACAUACUUUUACAAUAAUAUUCUUUUAAGAUUGCACAAUUAACUUUGACUUACUUUUGAAUUUGAACAAAACAACAUUAUCUUCCGUCACAAUUUAAUUUUAAAAACUGUACAACUUUAAAAAAAUCACCGUCGCGCACCUGUGUUUUCUUUUGGAUUGCAAGAAAGAAUAAAGCUUCAUUUUACGGAUUGGCCUUUUUAAAGCUUUUCAAGUUUAAAAGCGGGAUAUCCGAAGCUUCCCGAUUUUAAACAACCUAUUGAAUUGGCAACAAUCCUCUUGGUUAGCACCCUGUGGUAUUGAACACCGUGUUCGUAUUUAUCGACGUAUCUGUGGGCGUAUUAGUGUCUGAGUGGUCCGUCCAUCCAUGGACUUGGAGGGUUACCACCCUUACAGUUGCAAAUCGGGGUGGUGAUAGUAAGCAAAGUUUUCCUACUGAGUGACUGUUCCGCCUAGAAGACUUGGAAUAUUAUCACCCAUAUAGGUGACUGUAUGCCGUCUCGGUAAAGUUAUCCCGCCUGAGUGACCCUUCCAUCUAGAAGAUUUGGAGUGUUAUCACCCACACAGUUGAUAGCUUAUCCGAGGCAGGUUGUUAGCAAUGAGAGACAUUCGCAUCAGAGAAAACUUUCCCCUGUAAACCAUCCCUCCGCCCAGAAGACUUGGAGGGCUAUCGUUCACACAGCCGACAGCUUACUCAGAUGUGGACUUAGGGCUUUAGGAUUAAGGAAAUUCGAGCAGGUUGAGAUCUUAAAUUGGCAAAGCUAAUUAUUUAAAAUU